rnacentral:lncRNA from 1 species
CCUCACUGUUGGAGAUGUGGUCACGUCUGAAGAGACGAUCUUUGGACGUCCCUUCUUUGGGAGGUUAACCUGUGACCCGGAAGUGCAUCAAAGCUUUUUGUGCAGGUAGAAGUUGCAGAAGCUAACCUGCAGAGCAGAAGCCGUUUCCCCGCCGGACCCCGCGGAGCAGAGCGCCGCAGCAGGAUGGAAGCUCCCACCGCUCCUCCGGACUCACCUGCAGAGCUCAACAGCGUUCAAAUCAAAACGGAGCCGGACUGUGAGGUGGAGAUCCAGUGGUUCCCCGUCCUCAAGCAGCUGUCCGUCAACCUGACCGACUGCCGGGAGUGGCUGGGGGGGCAGGACUUCCUGUCUCUCGCCCGCAGGUGUAAACUGGACCUGGGAACUCUUUUGGCGAUGGUGUCCAGAGCAGGAAUGACAAAACAACAAAAUGGAGUUUCAUCACAUGUGCAAGCUCAGCAGAGACAGACAGACAGACAGACAGACAGACAGACAGGUGGGCAGCAGGUGGCGACCAGGUGCUUCUGUUAUCACCUGAAAUCACACAGCUCCAUCCAGUUAGAACACUAGUCAGAUUGUAAACGCACUGAUCCUCUUUUGUUCAGUUCCAGUCUGAUUCCAGUGCAUACGACGGCGUGUCAGAGCCAAGGAAAAAGCAUAGACAUUCUCUGAGAUUGAAGUGCUACAUUUAUGAGAAAAAAACCUGUGAAACCUAAUUUCUCCUCCUCUGUAUCCAAGCCUCCACCUGUGCUGCCCCCUGCUGGCCGUGUCUCAGGCCUGCAGCUGGUCCCCUCAGCAGAUUCUCCUCUGACAUGGGAUUCAGGAACAAGGAGAUCCUGCUGAUCUGAGCCCAGAAUCAGCAGAUUGGUAUUGCUGAUUGCAAAAGACGUAUGGAGAUCACCCAGAGCGCUCCCUCAUUUAAUAACUUGUCACAGACAGCAGAGGCUGUGUGAUGUAAAGCAUUCAAACUUAAAACAUAAACUCUUUGCGCUCAGAUAAAUGAGGUGAUAUUGUGUCCACCAUGUAAAGUAACUCUUUAAAAUAAGGCUUUUGCAAACUUGCUAAUGAACUUUAAUAUACUUCACUGUAUAAUCCAAAACUGAGUAUUUGAUUGUGCAUUCACUCUUC